UAGUUUCAUAUGCUUUAUUUUUUACUGUAGUAAAUGAAAAAUAUAGCCCCAUCAAACCAGAAAAUUGAAUCUUGCUUGAGGACAAUAAUUAAAAUUCUUCUUAAAUCAUCAAAGUCCAGGGCUUCCUUCAAAUGUAAACUUUUCUUUUUUAAAAAAGUGUGUCCUUGCUAUUUUUACAUACCAUCCGUUAUCCCCAUAAUUACAUAUCACCCUUAAAAUAUGGCAAGAAUCUCAGAAAAAAACAUGGACAUUCUUAGUAGCCUCUGUAAAAUAAUUUAUUUUUAGGUGUAAUAAUUAACAGCAAUAUAUCUAUAGUAUUAAAAUUUACAAAUCAUUGUUAGAACUGAGCAAUUCAUAGGUAACCAAUAAGGGAGGAAAGGAAUUAGAAAGCAACCAAGAAAAACAGCUGUAAGAAUAUGGAGAUAUUCUUCAUAUGCAAUAAGGUGGCAAAUUUAUUCAAAAAAGCAUGAUAAAUAUAAAGGAUGAGUAUAUUAUAAUAUACAUGUGCACAUAUUAAAUGUUUGAAAUCACAAAUUAUGAUUUAUUUUCUCAACUAAACUGUUACUAUAGAAUCAUAAAAAGGAAGAGAAUCUUGAUGAUUUUUCCAUUAGAGUAUACCAUGUUAGAUCUGGCAGAUGACUUUUCACUUUUUAUAGUGCUCCAAAAAUUGGUACACUUCCCUUUGCCUUUUGGAGACAUCACUGACUUUGAUAUUCAGAGUGGUAAAAUCAUGAUAUAAAAAUUCUUGCCCAUUGAAACUCAAUUAUCCUAUUUACUUGAUUUUUAGUCCCUUUCUUCAUUUUCCUUAUUUAGAUAUUAAUCUCUACUAAACAACCAUUACUCUAUUUAAAAAAUUUAAGUCUACAGCUUGAAUAAUCACAGCUCUAUUAAUAUUGGAUAUUAGGACCUCCCCGCAAUUUUUACUCCUAUAUGAUAUCAGAAAUAUUAGUAUCUUCUUCAAGGGAAAUGGGAAAAUUAUGUGAGUUUUAAAAGGGGUUUAUAUUUCUUUCUUAAAUUAGUAUUCAGAGUGCCCCAUAAUUCUGUUCUCAUAUAAGCAUUUCUCCUGUACAAUUUAAAAUCUGUUUUUUGAGAUUAAUUUUUUAAAUGAGUCUUCUUAGAACAUCUUGCUUUGGAGUUUGGGAGUUAAAUCCUUUCAUUAAAUGUUUAAAAAGAAUAUAUAUUCUGAUGUCUUGGGAUAGAACGUUCUAUAAAUGGCAGUUAGGUCAAGAUGGAUGAAAGUAUUGUUCAUGUCUUCUAUAUCCCUACUGAUUUAAGGCUACAGUUUUUAAAGACUGAUAGGGAGGGACUUGACGCCAGAAUCCUGAAGGAUAAAGUAAGGUAAAAAAGUGUGUAGAAAGACAGUAUAGAUCAGUGCUUCUCAAACUUUAAUGUGCAUAUGACUCACCUGGGGAAUUUAUUAAAAUUCAUAUUCUGCAUUUUAUAUCAGAGAUAAAAAAGAAUUCUGUUUGGGCAUAGAAGUUGUUUUCACCUGCCUCUGAGAUACUUGCUUCUAUACUAGCACAAUGGCAGCAUUGUUGGUUGUUCACCCCAUCCCCAUUCUUCUCUUUUUCCUAACAGCAACCCUUUUUUUAUUUGGAGUGGCAAAAUGUCACUAUAAAAGGAAAAAAAUCCCUCACCUUCCUAGCCUCCCUUGUAGUUAGGGUAACCAUAUGACAAAGAUCUGGCCAAUGGCAUUCAAGCAGUAUAUUUUGCCAGUAUAGUCUGCUGGUUAUAGUUGGGAAAGCAUUUAUUUUUCCCAUAUGAUAAUCUCACUUUCCUAUUUCAUCUUUCUUUAUUCUAAUUAGAUGGAAAAUAUGAGUCACGAGAUGACAGGCAAAUUAUUAGAACAAAAGGAUGGCAAAGAGAAAAUAGUGGCCUGGGUACUGGGUCACUUCUUUGAGUAGGUGCCCCAGUCUGAACUGCCUUGCUUUUCACUUUUCUGUUCUUUUCUCUCGAGAUAAAUGAACUCCUCCUGCCUGUUAAAGCCACUGGCAGUCAGAGUUUCCAGUGCUUAUAGCCAAAUACCAUUCUAACUGAUGUACUCACCAAUAAUAAUCGUAACUUCCUUUCAUAUGACACUUCAUGGUUUCUUCAUCAGCAUUAUGUGUGACACAAGCAAAAACAAAAACAAAAAAACUGCCAAUGUAUCUAUUUCAAGACAUCCCCAGAAUUCUGUUAUUAAAUAGCAUUGAUGAGGCAGUCAGCCAGAAUGUUUAAGCUGUCCUAAAUUACUGCCUCCUCUGUGUUUAGGGAGUCUGCUCUUGGUCUUACAAGUCCAAAAGCAGAAUAUUACAAAUUCACAUAGAAGUGAUCAGGAUCUAGAGACUUGAUUUAUGCCAUGCAGAUUCACAGGGCAUUUGUUUAUAAAAUUUGUGCUGGAAGAUUACUUGUGAACUAGGGCCAAACCCUUAAUUAUGACUAGGGAAACCCAGAAGAUAAAGUUGCAUUAAAAGCCUGCUUGAUGGAAACAGAAACAUACAAAAGAUGGCCUUACAGGGAAAAAGUUAAAGUGUUACCACAAAUGUAUACAUGAAAUGACCAAUAAUUUUAUUUUAUAUUUCAAAUAACUAGAAUUGUACAGAGUUUAAUUUUACAGCUUUAGGGCAAGGAUAAACUCAUUUUUAUUUUUGCAGUAAAAGGUAUAAAUAUUGAAAAUUAUGUAGGUUUAAAACUUUACUAUGAUAUAGACACAUUCUCAAAUUAAUGAAUUUUACUGAGCUUUUUAUAUCAAACUUACUGAUAUUUAAUGCAAAAUAAUAAAUAUUGAGAUUCUUGGUUGUACAUUAUAAAAUGCAUCACAGAGCGAUUUAUUGAUGCAAAGGAACCGUUUUGGCUCAUGUAAGUGAAAAGUCUAGGAGUCACAUCUUUAGGCAUCGCUGGAUCCAGGUGCUGAAAUGAUGUCAUCAGGCCCAAAAUGUCUCUUUAUUGCUUGAUUCUGCUUUCCUGAGUUGGUAUCAACUAGGAGACUCUCUCUACAUGCUCCAUGGCAGCUCCAGGCUCACACAUACUUAGUAUUAAGAUUUUCUCCUCUUCUUUAAUAUAAAGGAAAUUCAGCUAGAUGAUCUUUAGUUCAAAAUUCUGUGAUAUAUAAAUAACUCGAAAUAACUGCUAACAGUUAAUGAAACAUCUGAUUCAGUAAAGAUAAUGGUUAUUUACAAUUGAGUAUUGCAUAUUAAAAAGUUCAUUAAAGGUUUAUUUUUAUAGUUAUUUCAAAUUUGCCUUUUGCAUUUUUAGUAACUAUGAGUGAUACAAGCAAAACUACAACCUAGCACAAGUUGAAGUAUCACAAAUUUCAAGUCAAUUGCUACCAAAUUAGAUUUUAAUAUAAUUUAGAUACUAAUAUUAGUGUAUAUGUGAAAAGUGUUUGCUAAUGGGAAAUUUAGCCCAUUAAUUGUCAAUCAACAGUCAAGAUUUAGAAACCUCCUUUUUUACAAGAAACAAGUAGAAACUGGGAUGGGAGAAUAACAUUAGCAAUUGCAAACCUCAGUUCGUUCCAUUAAAAUGUUGAUUGCCUUGGGAAUAGAUGCUGUCACAGGAGAAAAAAGUGUAAAUUCAAACACUUAAGGAAUAAACUCUUAUAAAGUACAAUGUGAUUUAUCAAUUAAUUAAAUUUGAAUUCCAUGGAAUGAAAUAUAAGUCAACAAGUAUGACAGUUUGCUUGUUUAUUAUGGAAGAAUCAUUAAUAAUUUGAUAAUUAAAUGGUCCUGAAUGGUUAGCCAUGUUCUCCGCAUUUAAAUAAAUAGUAUAAACAUAAAUGAAAAUAUUAAAGUAAUUUCAACGUGAUAGAGACCACUUAUUUUUAGUUCAGGUAGAGUUCCAACCUAAUGGUAAUUAAGAUUCCAGAUCCGAAAGAUGUCAUGUGAAUAUUGCUCUGAAAAACCAAAAUUAAAGCUUUCUUAAAGAUGCUGUGUAGGGCUGAGAGGUUUUUCACUUGUACCAGUGAGAGCUGCAUCAUUAAUAGUCUUCAAAUUCAGCAAGUUCUGCCUCUAGAGAGCACCAGAGCAGCUACUUAUGAUUUGUUUCAUGACUCUGAAACUAUUACUCCCUCCAAUGGCUCUACAAAGCCAAUAUAAUGUGCACUUGGAUACCUAGUCCCUCAUGGCUACUGCACAAUGCUUAGGUUGUUUAUAUUUGGAAGUCAGAAAAACAUGUUGCUUGAAAGGCAUUAAGAUGCAUGGGGUCACUUAAAGCUAUUGACUAUAUUUUCAUUCUCUGUUGGCACUUAGGGAAGGCAUUUCCAGAUAAAUGUCUUCGGUAUGGCUAGUCAUUAGUUCUCUAAUCUGUAAUUUAGACACUGCUGUCAAACUAAAACAUCCAGUCCUUUGUUAAGCUCUGUUUUUUAUCACUUGCCCUAAGCUAUGAGCAAAAUGCCUACAUUGACAAUAACACAUUUAUUAAAUUGCUAUAUCAACGUAUUCACCACUCAGUCCAGCCUAGUGUUGCUAUUAAACUUUAGAUGUCUCUCCUAUGGGCUCUCAUAUCACCCAAUACAUAUCUUCACCAUGUCAGUAUUUACUUGCUGGGGAGGUGGCCUUACCCUACACUUGAAUUUCUCAAAGCCUGUCUUAAAGACUAGUAUCUUUUAAGUCUUUGGUUACAUCUAAGUUCCCAGCACUUAGCAGUGUCUGGCAUUUGGUAACUCUCAUUGUUGAACAGAUUGUUGCAAAGUUACUUGUUUUCCUUCCAUGGCACCAACCUUAAAGGUUAGAAUCACCAUUCCAAAAUUUCCUUUCCAUAAAUUUAUGUACAUCUUUUGAAACUCUGUACUUCCAGCCUUUAUCAUAUCUGAAAAUCUGACAUGAAAAUGUGUCAGCUCAGUUUAAUUACUGCAAUAGCUUCCUAACUUGAAACAAUUUGCCUCCAGUUUCUCCUUCAGGUUACCAAUUCUGUUCAAUGCAUCCAAAUUCAUGUUCCCUUAAACGUCUUAGAUUUUUAAUCCCCUAAAAUCAACUUGCUGCUCUAAGAAUAAAGUAUUAACUUUGCACUAGUAUUGAAGGCCAUCUCUUCCCUUCUCACUAAUUUUCAAUGAAAAUUUUAUUUAGAUAGUGAGUUGGGGGUCCCCAAGAUCAUACUGAGGUUCAUUGAUACACUUGGAAUCAUAGGACUCAGAAAAGCUGCUAUGCUCCCAGUUGCAGAUUAUAGUGAGAGGAUAUAGAUUAAAAUCAGUAAAUGGAAAAGGUGUGCAGGGUGAAAAUCAGGAGAAACCAGGCACAAACUUCAAGAUGUCCUCUCCCAGUGGAGCUGCACAGACAGCACCUAGUUCAGCAACGGUGUUUACCAACACAUGCAAAGUAUUGCUAAUAAGCUCUCUUGAGCCUUGGUGUUCAGGGUUUUUAUGAGGGUUCAGUCACAUAAAUAUUCAGUUCCCUCAUAACUGACCUUAGCUCCUGAAUCUCGUUUCCCAGAGCUUAAACUGUAACAGCAAGGCCUAUGGUCUCAGGCAUACAAAAGCACUCUUAACAGGUAAGACAUCCCAAGGACUCAAGAGAUUUUCUUCCAGGAACUGGUGAAGGACAGGUCCUUUCUUUGCAAUAAAAAGGAUUUGAGCCUUUACUGUACAGAGAGGUCAGUCUACUCCUUAUUACUCAACCACAUCUUACUCCUUCUUGCCUUCCUGUCUGCCAAUUUGAAGUUUUCCUAACCAUCUAUGGAAAUCCUUACUAUCCUUAGGGUCAAGCACAAGUCAUCCAUUUCCAUGAAGAUUCUCCUCCAAUCUCUCCCAUAUUGCUAUGCAUAGAGGAAAAUGCAUCUUUGCCAUGCAUGGGAAGCUUUUAUAUAUUGCCUUCAAACACCAGUUUACCGGGCAUGUCAUCUCUGUUACUGUCAUGCAGUAAAUACUCAGGAAAUGAAGGAUUACUAAUGAGUUGUUAAGGUUUAUUCUUCUUUCUUUAAUGUAGAAUUUCAUUUGACCUAAAAUUAUCCUUCCAAUCUUCAUAGAAUAUUUGGUUUUAAUAUACAAAAUUAAAUAUGCAAGCUCUUAUCCAUUCUUCAUUUCAGAUCUCUGGCAUAUUCUCAUUUCUCAUUUAUCUUUUCACACCAAAGAAAUCUAACCUUUUUAUAACUUAAUCACUUUGACUCUGGUUGCUCCUUUCUGUACUUUCUCUGCCUCGUGUUACUUUUAAAAAUUUGAUCAAAUUUUUAAUUUUAAAAUAUGUGAUUAAAAACAUCACAUUACCUUUGCACCAGGGAAGCAUACUUUCAUUUACAAUAAAUUUCCAGUCCUGUCCAGAAUUUUCAUAGUUUUUCUUUUCACCAAAAUUAUCAGGGAAUGCUAUCAAUUACUUCUUAGUACUUUUCCUAGGCCACAAUAAAUAAUUUGGAGUCCAUCAUUCAAUAUCAGGAUAAUUGUUAGCUAUCAUUAAUAUUGACAAAUUAGUAUGUUCUAGGGAGUGCUAACUGCUUAUCUUAAUCUUGACAGUACAAGGAAGCAGGUACUCAUUUUCAUAGCAACUAAGACAUGGUAAGAUUAAUAUGCUAAGCUCUGCAAACUAAGUAUGACUCCAGAGUCUGUGCCUUUCACUGCCAUGCUACACUGGACUAGCCCAAGACCCUAAUCAACAAUUUCCUUUUAAAAAUCAUACCUCCUAUGAGUGUGAAUUGAAGUGUCUCUGUAAUUAGCAGAAUCACAAUUAAAAUAAAGCUUAUCCAAGUCAGAUUCAGAGAGCUAUUUUUUAAAAUAAAAAUUUAAAUUUUAAAAUAAAAAAUUUAACUUUUAACUAUCAUUGUGAUCACUUUCAGGGCAUUUAUUUUAAAAUGUGAAAUAAGCCAUAGUGCAGCAUUUUCUGGCAACUUGUAUCAGUUAAUGAGUUUUCUAGAGUAUGAUUUAUUAUAAUCAUUUUGUUGAUAUGAGAUGAAACAUGAUAGCUUGUGCAUAUUUUCAUAUAUCAAACAGAAACAUAUUAGUUUCCUGCCUGUUCCCCACCCCAACACACACUAGUUUUUAAUACAAGACACAAUGUAUUGUGUCCCUGGAGUUGUCUCCCCACCCACCCUGACUCCUGGAUUCUUUUUAACGUAUUUCAAAUGUAAUAACAAUUUGGUACCAUACUAAUUAUAUGGCAUUUGUAAAGCCAGUAUAUGUGGAAAAAAAAAAAAAACCUACAUAAUAGCAAAAUAUAUGCAGUGUAAUUGAACAUUACCCUAAAGAGAAGAGAGAAAGCGUAUCAUAUCCUUGUAGGGACAUUGAUGGGAAUUUGAUACCAGUUGUAGCAAUGCUUGAUCUGUGCCAUUUCUAACAAGUAAUACUCUGUAAAAUAAAAGGACUUAGGCUGGGCGUGGUGGUUCAUGCCUGUAAUUCCAGCACUUUGGGACGCCGAAGUGGGCAGAUCACGAGGUCAGGAGAUCAAGACCAUCCUGGCCAACAUGGUGAAACCCCGUCUCUACUAAAACAAAAAAAUUAGCCAGGUGUGGUGGCGCGUGCCUGUAGUCCCAGCUACUCGGGAGGCUAAGGCAGGGGAAUCGCUUGAACCCAGGAUGCGGAGGUUGUAGUGAGCCAAGAUUGCACCACUGCACUCCAGCCUGGCGAAAGAGCAAGAAGUGUCUCAAAAAUAAAUAAAUAAAUAAAUAAAUAAAUAAAUAAAUAAAUAAAUAAAAAUUAAAGGACUUAAAAAAAAAGAAACAUUAAAAAAAGAAGGAAAUGAAAAGGCAUAACAAAAAACUAACACAAAAAUUGAGUUAAAAAAAAACUUAAUGCCAAAACCAAGAAGAGGUCGGAAAGGUAUCUGGAAGAACAAUUCUCAGCUCCUUCAUUCCCCAGAUGAUGCCAGUAAGUAGGAGAUGGCAUACUGUUAACUAAUGAAAGAAAUUCUCCUGGUGAAGUCCUAUUUCGCCUUUAUCCUUAGAAUUAUGCAACCUACAGACUUAGCAAUCUUAAAAGAAAAAAAAUAGAUGGGGAAAAUAAUUGACUUGAAUUAUAUUUAUUUUAAAAAGACUGUUUCUAGUUGUUUUGAAUGAAUCCAGAACCCAUAAAUUAUAUCCCAGAAUACUGAAAGAAUCUGAUGAAAUAACACGACCUUCGACAGUAAAUCUGAGUCAAGAUGAUUUGGUUGAGGUAGAUACAGACAGAUAGAAGCUUCACAAGCACAAGAAUACUGUUCCCUGGCCUAUCCACAGCUUUGAGCAUACUGCCUGGCAUGUAUUAAUGGCUUGAUAAGUGUCCCUGACAAAAUUCCAAAAUCUAUUUUUUUGAAGUUUGUGGACAGGUAGAAAAGAAAGCAAUGGCCACUAGGAGGCAGCAUCGAUUUAUGAAGACUAAGCACGUCUCAUGGUUUCCCACUAUACAGAGGAAUGAAGAUCACAUCAAAGCAUCUGACCAAAUCUCACAUCAAUAAUCCCUAUAAACAGGAUGGAGCAUAAGUACUAGAUAUCUCACAAUUAAAUGAAUUUGUCGCUAGUUUAAUGGGAGCACUAUGCUAUUUAAUGGGUAUCAAUCUAAAUGGAGAUAGCUUUACCUUAUCAACAUUUUUUUCAGUAUUACAUGUAGACAGAAAGGAAUUUUUAUCAAAUUUGCCCAUGACUUAAAACUGAGAUUCACAGCCCAAGUUUUUUUAAACCCAAAAUAAGUAAAAUUUAAUUUAAUAAAAUUAAAUCUAUAUGAGGUAAUGACUAUACAAGUACAGAAUGGAGAGGUUCCUCUUUACAUGUGAAAGACCUUUGAGUUUACACUUUCAAACUCCUUGAGUCAAGAAUAUUCGCUGACAUAGAAACAAAUUUUAUUGUACAUUUCUUAAUACUGUAAACUUACACGUACUUCCCACAUAACCUCAAUUCCUCAUCUAUUCUCUUGUAGAGAUAUGGUAGUCAGUGGGACAGACGCUUAAAAAGCUGACAAGACCUAUAUUUUUAACUUUUAUACAUUGGCCUUUGACUACCUGGAAUAGUAUUAAAUAGCUGUUUACGGUUAUGUCCUCAAAAUCAUACCAAAUGUUUAAAAUGCAGUCUAAUGCUACUUUUUACAACCCAAGAAGAUAGCUGUUAUUAUCCUUAUCUUGAAUAAGAUCCUGUGUUUGAAAUCAAUUCUGUGGGGUUAGAGACUCAUCCCAGCAGGUAAGUGCUAGGUCUUUUAAUAAUUCCACCACUUUCCUUCGCUGUUUAGUGACUAUUCCUUUUUGCUCCAUUACACAGCUGCUGAACCACAACGAGUAGGGCCCAAGAAAAUUUUUAAAGCACCUUAGGUAAUUGUAAUGAAAACGGCCCACAAUGCAGGUUUGGGAACUGCGUUAGAUCAUCUGAAUAUUUCUCAUCAGGCUUCUGAUAGAUGCUUGAUAGCAGAUUUUAAGACUAUACUUUCUGAUAACAGGCAGUAUUGUAUAAAAAGCUGAAAGACCUAGUUGAAUUUGAGCACUGUUACUUACUAGUGCUACCUCUUACAAGUCACUUGACCCUGCUGAGCCUCAAUUUUCCCAUAUAUAAAAUGAUCAUUGUAAGCACUCAGCACCAGGCCUGGCACAUGAUAUGCACUCAAUAAAUACUACCUACUAAUUUUGAAGAUGAAGGCCCAGAAUAUACUAACUAUAUUGUCAGUUAAGAGUUGCCUUACAACCCUGGCUACUAAAUUGUCUGGUUCACAUGCCAUUACAAAGGGCCUUUACUUUCUCAUUCCCAUGAUGAAUCUCAGGUUACACGGCUGAGGAAAAUGUUGACAUCGUUAUUCUGUAUUUGCAUUAAAUACCAUUUAAAAGUUGUUUUUAUCAUACUUAUAUCUCACAUUAUUACCUUAAAAAUUCCGAAGGAUGUUAUAAAGUUGUUAAACAGGAUGUUUAAGCAAAUAUUAGUAAAACUUUCUCUCUUGCUCUUCUGGGAUCAAGAUUUGUAAUAUUUAGCCAAAACUGUCAGCAUGUGAGGCCAAGUUACCAAAGUGCUUUGACAUAAAAGCAAUGUUAUUUUAAACUAUUAGUUUAGAUAGUAUCUUGUCAGUUAAAAAAAAAAAAGUCCCUUUUGCAGUUAAUUGCCCUUUCCAAAUAACUUUAAUGAAAAUAUCUUGCCAAGAAACAUCUCUUUGAUUCAUUAAGCUGGGUUUAGAUUGUGCCUGAGUCACAAAGCACAGAGGUAAUUACAGGUUGAAAUUGAUUUAUCUGACUCUGGACUUCAUUUGUACUGUUAGAAUGCAUUUUUCUUAGCAACUGAACAAUGUGUAUUCUUAUUUAAUUUUUGGAAUUACUUUACCAAUUCAAAAUGCCAUAUACUACAAUAUUUCAUUCACAGUCCCUAAAUUUGCCUGUUUGCCUUACCCACUUUCCAUCAUUUUAUUAAUAAAUUGAUUAUAAAACAUUAUACUACAAGUCAAGUACUUAUGAAUAGCCAAUACUAGCUAACUUCUCUAAUUCUCCCAGAGACAGCCCUUAACAUCAACCAAAUAAUUCUAGAGAAUAGUGCUUCUCCCCUUAUAAGGCUGAUUUGAGUGAAGAUAUUUUCCUCCCCCAAAAAGCUAUUAUGUUUAAUAAGUAUGAAGUUUAAAAUAUUUUAAAAUAUGAAUGAAACCCACCUCUAAACUCUCUAUAAGGAUCUAUUCCAGAAUUUAUACAAAUUGUUCAUUUUUUCUUAUUGAACUUGUAUUAAGCCAAGGGUCAGCAACUAUGCCUUCAAGCCCAAUCCAACCCCCACCUCCAUUUUUAUAAAUGAAGUUUUACUGGAAGACAGCCACUAUUCAUUUAUGUAUUAUCUAUGGUUAUUUGUAGGCCACAAUAGCAGAGGUGAGUAGCUGUGACAGACCACAUGGCCUUCAAAGCCUAAAAGACUAUCUGGAUCUUCAUAGAAAAAGCUUGCCAACUACUAUUUUUAAGCACUUUCAUAAAAACAAAACAAAUAAACUAUUUAAAUUUGUUUCAAUUACAAGGAUGUAAAUAUUUUUCUAUGUUCUUCUCAUCACAAAGACACACACUUGGGCCUAUACAUGAGUUGAUCAGAAAUUUUAUGGACUAGCCUGAAUAUCUAAACACUACUUACAUUGUUUCUUUCAAUUAUUUAAAAAACUGAGUUGACGUCUUCUGAAAUCAGGUUUAUGGAUAAUGAAUCAUGGAAAAUUGCUGACAAUAAUAGCUAGCACUACUUCAAUACAAACUUAGAGUUUAUUUACUCACAUUUAUAAACUAACUUUAACAUUAGAAAUUCUCCAAUUCUUAAA
rnacentral:lncRNA from 1 species